rnacentral:lncRNA from 1 species
ACGGGACACCUGCAUCUGCCAACAAGACUGGAAGCAGGUGAGGCACACAGAGGGGGAGGCCCGCAGCUGCGUGGGAGGAGGGGUGGUCUGAGGGACGUGGGAUGCCGGGAAUGAGGCUGGUUUGCAGGUUGGCGCAUGGACAUUUUCCCAGAAAGGGACAGAGACGGCGAAGUUUGACGGUCUGGAAAGCAGAGACCAGCAGGGCUGACUGCUUGGGAGCACCAAAUAUCCGGACAGCGCCUCUCGGGAGGUCCGAGAAGAGAACCGCGAUCUGUUUCAGCACCGGGGCUCAGGACAGUUCCCAGCGGGCUCCGUUUCGUCUCCAGAACCCUGGACAGCUCCUCCAGCUUGGAAUGCACUCCCUCCACCUCCAACCAGAGCUCCCCACAACUGACCCUGCCUUCUUCUGCAAGCUCCAUUUCAUCAAGGGAAACGAUCCUUAUUGCCUCACCAUUUCCCACGUGAAGUCUGUAUUGACAUUCUCAUAGACCUGGGAUAUUGUGUCUGCAGCACAUAGUCCAAUUAUUUUCAUGUUAUCUACUGACAGGUCUAUUUGUCUCCCUGUUACACUGUGAGCUCCGUGAGGGCAGAAACAAUGUUAGUAUUUUCACUGCUGUGUCCCCAGCGCCUGGUCCGGGGCCCGGCACACAGCAGGCAUAUAAUAAGCAUGUGUUGAAUCAAUAAAGGCAUCAAAGAAUAAACCAAUACAUCAAUCAA